GGGGAAUAUUGGACAAUGGGGGGAACCCUGAUCCAGCGACGCCGCGUGAGUGAAGAAGUAUUUCGGUAUGUAAAGCUCUAUCAGCAGGGAAGAAAGAAAUGACGGUACCUGACUAAGAAGCCCCGGCUAACUAC
rnacentral:rRNA from 1 species